GACGAACGCUGGCGGCGUGCUUAACACAUGCAAGUCGAACGAAGAGCGAUGGAAGCUUGCUUCUAUCAAUCUUAGUGGCGAACGGGUGAGUAACGCGUAAUCAACCUGCCCUUCAGAGGGGGACAACAGUUGGAAACGACUGCUAAUACCGCAUACGAUCUAAUCUCGGCAUCGAGGAUAGAUGAAAGGUGGCCUCUACAUGUAAGCUAUCACUGAAGGAGGGGAUUGCGUCUGAUUAGCUAGUUGGAGGGGUAACGGCCCACCAAGGCGAUGAUCAGUAGCCGGUCUGAGAGGAUGAACGGCCACAUUUGGACUGAGACACGGCCCAGACUCCUACGGGAGGCAGCAGUGGGGAAUCUUCCGCAAUGGACGAAAGUCUGACGGAGCAACGCCGCGUGAGUGAUGACGGCCUUCGGGUUGUAAAGCUCUGUUAAUCGGGACGAAAGGCCUUCUUGCGAAUAGUGAGAAGGAUUGACGGUACCGGAAUAGAAAGCCACGGCUAACUACGUG
rnacentral:rRNA from 1 species